rnacentral:rRNA from 1 species
UGGCGGCGUGCUUAACACAUGCAAGUCGAACGGGAAACCUUUUAUUGAAGCUUCGGCAGAUUUAGCUGGUUUCUAGUGGCGGACGGGUGAGUAACGCGUGGGUAACCUGCCUUAUACAGGGGGAUAACAACCAGAAAUGGUUGCUAAUACCGCAUAAGCGCACAGGACCGCAUGGUCGGUGUGAAAAACUCCGGUGGUAUAAGAUGGACCCGCGUUGGAUUAGCUAGUUGGCAGGGUAACGGCCUACCAAGGCGACGAUCCAUAGCCGGCCUGAGAGGGUGAACGGCCACAUUGGGACUGAGACACGGCCCAGGCUCCUACGGGAGGCAGCAGUGGGGAAUAUUGCACAAUGGGGGAAACCCUGAUGCAGCGACGCCGCGUGAAGGAAGAAGUAUCUCGGUAUGUAAACUUCUAUCAGCAGGGAAGAUAGUGACGGUACCCGACUAAGAAGCCCCGGCUAACUACGUGCCAGCAGCCGCGGUAAUACGUAGGGGGCAAGCGUUAUCCGGAUUUACUGGGUGUAAAGGGAGCGUAGACGGACUGGCAAGUCUGAUGUGAAAGGCGGGGGCUCAACCCCUGGACUGCAUUGGAAACUGUUAGUCUUGAGUGCCGGAGAGGUAAGCGGAAUUCCUAGUGUAGCGGUGAAAUGCGUAGAUAUUAGGAGGAACACCAGUGGCGAAGGCGGCCUACUGGACGGUAACUGACGUUGAGGCUCGAAAGCGUGGGGAGCAAACAGGAUUAGAUACCCCGGUAGUCCACGCCGUAAACGAUGAAUACUAGGUGUUGGGGAGCAAAGCUCUUCGGUGCCGCCGCAAACGCAUUAAGUAUUCCACCUGGGGAGUACGUUCGCAAGAAUGAAACUCAAAGGAAUUGACGGGGACCCGCACAAGCGGUGGAGCAUGUGGUUUAAUUCGAAGCAACGCGAAGAACCUUACCAAGUCUUGACAUCCCUCUGACCGACUCCUAACCGAGUCUUUCCUUCGGGACAGGGGAGACAGGUGGUGCAUGGUUGUCGUCAGCUCGUGUCGUGAGAUGUUGGGUUAAGUCCCGCAACGAGCGCAACCCCUAUCCCCAGUAGCCAGCGGUUCGGCCGGGCACUCUGAGGAGACUGCCAGGGAUAACCUGGAGGAAGGCGGGGAUGACGUCAAAUCAUCACGCCCCUUAUGAUUUGGGCUACACACGUGCUACAAUGGCGUAAACAAAGGGAAGCGAGCCUGCGAAGGUAAGCAAAUCCCAAAAAAUAACGUCCCAGUUCGGACUGCAGUCUGCAACUCGACUGCACGAAGCUGGAAUCGCUAGUAAUCGCGGAUCAGAAUGCCGCGGUGAAUACGUUCCCGGGUCUUGUACACACCGCCCGUCACACCAUGGGAGUCAGUAACGCCCGAAGUCAGUGACCUAACUGCAAAGAAGGAGCUGCCGAAGGCGGGACCGGUGACUGGGGUGAAGUCGUAACAAGGUA